UUUGUCAAAUAGGAAUCUACUUCAUCCAGUUGAUUGGCUUGCCUAACUUGGGGACCAGUGGUUGGCUCGCAGCCCUCUCUACAGUGAAUAAGGGGCCCUUAGCUGUGACCAUCAUCAUGAUGGUAGUGGCUGGCUUCUUUACCCUCUGUGCUGGGCUCUCACUCUUCCUCCUGCAGCGGGUCCAUGCCUUCUACCGCCGAACAGGAGCCAGCUUCCAGCAGGGAUUCGUCUUGUCCCUGCACUUUCCUCAGUAGUCAGCUUUCUCUUCUACAGGAGGGAAGGACAGGAAGGGACAAGGACUUUUUUUUUUAACACAU
rnacentral:lncRNA from 1 species